rnacentral:rRNA from 1 species
CGGGACGGGUGAGUAAUGUCUGGGAAACGUGCCUGAUGGGAGGGGAUAACUACUGGAAACGGUAGCUAAUACCGCAUAACGUCGCAAGACCAAAGAGGGGACCUUCGGGCCUCUUGCCAUCGGAUGUGCCCAGAUGGGAUUAGCUAGUAGGUGGGGUAACGGCUCACCUAGGCGACGAUCCCUAGCUGGUCUGAGAGGAUGACCAGCCACACUGGAACUGAGACACGGUCCAG